UACGUAGGGUGCGAGCGUUAAUCGGAAUUACUGGGCGUAAAGCGUGCGCAGGCGGUUUGCUAAGACCGAUGUGAAAUCCCCGGGCUUAACCUGGGAACUGCAUUGGUGACUGGCAAGCUAGAGUGUGGCAGAGGGGGGUAGAAUUCCACGUGUAGCAGUGAAAUGCGUAGAGAUGUGGAGGAAUACCGAUGGCGAAGGCAGCCCCCUGGGCCAACACUGACGCUCAUGUACGAAAGCGUGGGGAGCAAACAGG
rnacentral:rRNA from 1 species